UACGUAGGGUGCAAGCGUUAAUCGGAAUUACUGGGCGUAAAGCGUGCGCAGGCGGUUAUGCAAGACAGAUGUGAAAUCCCCGGGCUCAACCUGGGAACUGCAUUUGUGACUGCAUAGCUGGAGUGCGGCAGAGGGGAUGGAAUUCCGCGUGUAGCAGUGAAAUGCGUAGAUAUGCGGAGGAACACCGAUGGCGAAGGCAAUCCCCUGGACCUGUACUGACGCUCAUGCACGAAAGCGUGGGGAGCAAACAGG
rnacentral:rRNA from 1 species